rnacentral:rRNA from 1 species
GACGAACGCUGGCGGCGUGCUUAACACAUGCAAGUCGAACGGAGUGGCGAACGGGUGAGUAACACGUGGGUGACCUGCCCUGCACUUCGGGAUAAGCCUGGGAAACUGGGUCUAAUACCGGAUAGUGUGGGAUGGGCCCGCGGCCUAUCAGCUUGUUGUGGGGGUAAUGGCCUACAAAGGCGGCGACGGGUAGCCGGCCUGAGAGGGUGGACGGCCACAUUGGGACAGGGACACGGCCCAGACUCCUACGGUGGGAAGCAGUGGGGAAUAUUGCCCAAUGGGCGGAAGACGUAUGCAGCGACGCCGCGUGGGGGAGGACGGCCUUCGGGUUGUAAACUCCUUUCACCAUCGACGCGGUAGAUGGAGAAGAAGCACCGGCUAACUACGUGCCAGCCGCCGCGGUAAUAC